rnacentral:rRNA from 1 species
GACGGGGGGGGGCAAGUGUUCUUCGGAAUGACUGGGCGUAAAGGGCACGGUAGGCGGUGAAUCGGGUUGAAAGUGAAAGUCGCCAAAAAGUGGCGGAAUGCUCUCGAAACCAAUUCACUUGAGUGAGACAGAGGAGAGUGGAAUUUCGUGUGUAGGGGUGAAAUCCGUAGGAUCGUACGAAGGAACGCCAAAAGCGAAGGACAGCUCUCUGGGUCCCUACCGACGCUGGG